CACGUAGGGCGCAAGCGUUGUCCGGAAUUAUUGGGCGUAAAGAGCUCGUAGGCGGUCUGUUGCGUCCGCUGUGAAAACUCGGGGCUUAACCCCGAGCCUGCAGUGGAUACGGGCAGACUAGAGGUAGGUAGGGGAGAAUGGAAUUCCUGGUGUAGCGGUGAAAUGCGCAGAUAUCAGGAGGAACACCGGUGGCGAAGGCGGAUCUCUGGGCCUUACCUGACGCUCAGGUGCGAAAGCUAGGGGAGCAAACAGG
rnacentral:rRNA from 1 species